UAAGUACCAAACACCUUCCAGCAGAUGUGUAUCAGUACUUAACAUGAACUUUGGUACUUCUUGGUGGUUUAAAGCAAAAAGGAUCUUUCAUAUUAAUAAGAAGCCAAAGGGAGAAAAUAAGAGAAAUGCACCACAACUCUAAGCAAGUGAUGGGAUGAUCCUUGGUGAACAGAAGAUGAAGCAAUGGCUCCUCUAUAGUUUCCACUCGAUCCAGGCACCAAAACGUGUGCGGCUGCAUCUUGAACAAACCAGGGCCUUUCACUGCACACCUGGCAAGUGAACACUCCAAAAAUACAGUAAAUAAAAAGGUUUAGUGCUGAAGGAUUGAAGCUCUCUCCACGCUUGAAAACCGAAUGCCGUGGGACUGGGGACUAAGGCAGAUAUUUUUAGUGCCAUCAAUAUCUCCUGGAGUUGAUAUCUCCCAAGACAGAUGGUUGUUUCCCACAGAACGUUGUCAAAUGUUUGCUCAGCCAAGAUCAAUUUUGUUCCAAGUCCUUUCCCACCUUCUGGUGAAAGAUAUUUCACUUGCCAGACAAAAAAUUAAAGAAACAGCAUGAAA